CAGAUGCUUCACUACGUCCCAGCUUGUAGCAAGGCAGCAAUUUGGUCAUAAGUCUGCCGCAGGCUUGUAACAACUUGUGUGUUCUUACAUGUGUAAUAGACCUUAUGCAUGAUGACAUCAGAAGCCUUGAUGCCCACGAGGAAUGUUGGUCUUAGUAGUCAUUGCCCAGGAAAGUUAAACAAUUAAAAAUGGCCACCAUUGAAAUUUUCCCAAGCAAUGACUACUAAGACCAGCAUUCCCCACAGGCAUCAAGUCUUGUGAUGUCAUUGUGCAUAAAGUCUAUUCAUUACCACAUUCUAAUUUAGUUGAUAAUAUUCUUGCAGCGUAGGAGGGUCAACAGCAAAAUAAGAACUUGUAGUUGAGCCAUAAAUACAAGUUAAUUCAUUUCGCAAAAGGGCACACACAGAAUAUAUCUUCCCAACAGCACUCAAUCCAAUUUUCAAAUUCUUCUUAAAAUCCA